rnacentral:rRNA from 1 species
CGGCAAGCUUAACACAUGCAAGUCGAACGGAUUUUUGUCGUAGCUUGCUAUGAUAAAAAUUAGUGGCAGACGGGUGAGUAAUGCAUAGGAAUCUACCUAGUAGUAUGGGAUAGCCACUAGAAAUGGUGGGUAAUACUGUAUAAUCCCUGCGGGGGAAAGAUUUAUCGCUAUUAGAUGAGCCUAUGUUAGAUUAGCUAGUUGGUAGGGUAAAGGCCUACCAAGGCAGUGAUCUAUAGCUGGUCUGAGAGGAUGAUCAGCCACACUGGAACUGAGAUACGGUCCAGACUCCUACGGGAGGCAGCAGUGGGGAAUAUUGGACAAUGGGCGCAAGCCUGAUCCAGCUAUGCCGCGUGAGUGAGGAAGGCCUUAGGGUUGUAAAACUCUUUCAGUGGGGAAGAUAAUGACGGUACCCACAGAAGAAGUCCCGGCAAACUCCGUGCCAGCAGC